rnacentral:lncRNA from 1 species
AUGACGUCUAGGGCAUCAGGUGCUCGGAUGGCCAACCCCUCCCCCACGAGGUGGUACCCCCCAGGGAAGGGAGAAGGGAGACAGGACAGGGUUGCCUGCGGAGAAACCCCCCGCGGCAUGGCCUUGCUCACGGCGAUCAGGGCUGGGACAUCAAGGGGUGCAGUUUGCAGGCCUGUGCCUGGCCGGGGGUCGCCCCGCAGGGAUGGGCCUCAGGGACACAUCGACCCGGCCUUUGUAGUGUUGACAACAGGCGUGACCCCUGGCCUGGCCCCUGGGGACACCUCCUCCCACAGGAGUCCUGCCCAGCCCAGCUCCAGGAAAGAGGAUCCGCAGACACACAAACGUGGGACACUGGCUCGUGACCGGUGCCCUCAGACCACAGGCCCCUGUCCCCUCUCUCUUUCAGGCUUUGGUCCUGUUUUCAAAUCAUCGGCAACAAGGCUUCCCGUGCUUUUAGCAUCUCCUUUGGAAGCCCCAGCAGGUGGGGAACAGACGCCUCAGGAAGUGCAGUGUGGGUACGGCAGCGCCUGCAGGGCCUCCUGCUGGCCCGUCUCCCCCCUCCCAGCACCCGCAGGGUGUGCUGGCCUCCCCCUCCCCAUCGUCCCCCUCCCAGCACCCACAGGGUAUCCUGGCCUCCCCCUGCCCAUCCCCCGCCUCACUUCCAAGUGGGCUUUCCAGGAUCUGAAUAGGAGGGCCCUGAAGCAGGGUCUGCACAUGCACAAACCCAGGGUGCCCUCUCAAAUCUGGGGUGCACGACCUCAUGAGCGGAGCCCCCGGGAGAUGGUGGAGGACCAGGGCUCCCACAGGCGGGGGUGCAGCAGGCUCCAGGAAGUGGUGCAGGCACCUGGGAGGCUGAGGCAGUGGGCUCUGGGUGCUGGUGGGCGAGGGCCCCCCAGGUCGGCCUGGCUCGGGGUGGUCUAUAGGGGCGCCCUCGGGGGCCAGGGGCUCAGUGCGGCCGCCUGCAGGGGAGCCCCCGACCCAGGGCAGUGGGGUCCUCCCUUAGCGACAGGCCAGCCCAGCUCCCGCAGGACAGCCAGACCCGGGAGGGAAUGA